GUGGGCAGCCCACGUGACAAUCGGUCAGGCUCCGCUUUCUAGAUCUCCGAGCCUUGCUGGCCCGGAGUGAGCGCUCUGCACUGUCGGGCCGGGUCUCGGUGGUUCCCCUGGACUCUGUUGCCAGGGGCAACGAGGGCGCUUCCAGGGGGAGGCUGUGAUUCGGCGCCUUCCACCGCGUUCCCCAAGGAGUGAGUGACAGGAGAGGGAGGGACAGACCUACGACCCCACGGAGAAAGCGCUGGCCUUGUCCGUUUCCCUCCUCAAGAACCAUUCCUGGCUCCCCGGCGGUUACGUGGUAAGGUUCCAACUCAACGUGGGGGCAUUCAAGGUCCCCACAAGCCAACCCGGUGGUCCGCCCUAGUAGUCCCCCACGCACACAGUGUGGGAGAGAAUGAAGAGAAUGCACAGAGCUGGGGCUUGGGGACCCACGAUGGCGGACCCCAAGGGGUUUAAAUUAAGCAGAUCGGGAGAUUAUCCUCAGAGCAUUGACGAAGUUUAAGGAAGAAUGGAAGAAGCUGGUGCCGCCCAAACUUUAACCUUCCUGAAUUUCAGUUUCCUAUCUAUGAAAUGGGGAUAAGAAUAGCACCUGCUGGACUUCCCUGGCGGCGCAGUGGUUAAGAAUCCGCCUGCCAAUGCAGGGGACACGGGUUCCAGCCCUGGUCUGGGAAGAUCCCACAUGCCGUGGAGCAACUAAGCCCGUGUGCCACAACUAUUGAGCUUGCGCUCUAGAGCCCAUGAGGCACAACUACUGAGCCCGCGUGCCUACAACUACUGCAGCCUGCAUGCCUAGAGCCUGUGCUCCGCAACAAAGAGAAGCCACCGCAGUGAGAAGGCCGCACACCGCAACAAAGAGUAGCCCUCGCUUGCCACAACUAGAGAAAGCCCGCGCACAGCAACAAAGACCCAAUGCAGGCAAUAAAGAAAGAAAGAAAGAAAGAAAAAAAAAAGAAUCCGCCUGCCAAUGCAGAGACACAGGUUCGAUCCCUGGUCUGGGAAGAUCCCACAUGCCGCAGAGCAACUAAGCCCAUGCACCACAACUACUGAAGUCCGUGCACCUAGAGCCCAUGCUCUGCAACAAGAGAAGCCACCACAAUGAGAAGCUCGGGCACCACAACGAAGAGUAGCUCCUGCUCGCUGCAACUAGAGAAAGCCCGUGUGCAGCAACGAAGACCCAAUGCAGCC
rnacentral:lncRNA from 1 species